GAUGAACGCUAGCUACAGGCUUAACACAUGCAAGUCGAGGGGAAACGAUAUUGGAAGCUUGCUUCCGAUAGGCGUCGACCGGCGCACGGGUGAGUAACGCGUAUCCAACCUGCCCAUCACUUGGGGAUAACCUUGCGAAAGUAAGACUAAUACCCAAUGACGUCUCUAGAAGACAUCUGAAAGAGAUUAAAGAUUUAUCGGUGAUGGAUGGGGGAUGCGUCUGAUUAGCUUGUUGGCGGGGUAACGGCCCACCAAGGCGACGGAUCAGUAGGGGUUCUGAGAGGAAGGUCCCCCACAUUGGAACUGAGACACGGUCCAAAACUCCUACGGGAGGCAGCAGUGAGGAAUAUUGGUCAAUGGGCGAGAGCCUGAACCAGCCAAGUAGCGUGAAGGAUGACUGCCCUAUGGGUUGUAAACUUCUUUUAUAAAGG
rnacentral:rRNA from 1 species